rfam:Providencia sneebia DSM 19967 chromosome, whole genome shotgun sequence.
AAUCGUUGGUGGCAUAACUUCCCAAAUUGGGCGGAAGCGACGCGCGCAUAGAUUUGAUAAUGCAUUAGUGCCGAACCCGCCAUUAUCAGCGGGUUUUUUUAU